GGAGUUAUAGUCAACAAUGAUAUUUGAUUUGCACUCAAAAGGUGCUCUAUAUGAGCUAACUUCA
rnacentral:tRNA from 1 species